rnacentral:rRNA from 1 species
GCUAAACAAGCAUGGCGUUGGUUGUCCAUGUGAAAGUGAGUAGGUUGAGAGUUAGGAAAAUCCGGACUCUUAAGACUGAGACACGAGACGAGCACCCAAGGGUGUGAAGUUGUUGAUGCCAUACUUCCAGGAAAAGCCUCUAAGCUUCAGAUUAUACCGAAUCGUACCCCAAACCGACACAGGUGGUCAGGUAGAGAAUACUAAGGCGCUUGAGAGAACUCGGGUGAAGGAACUAGGCAAAAUUGUACCGUAACUUCGGGAGAAGGUACGCUCCUAUCUGUGAUGAGACUUGCUCUCUAAGCGGACGGGAGCCGCAGUGACCAGGUGGCUGGGACUGUUUAUUAAAAACACAGCACUGUGCAAAAUCGCAAGAUGACGUAUACGGUGUGACACCUGCCCGGUGCCGGAAGGUUAAUUGAUGGGGUUAGUUUUCGGACGAAGCUCUUGAUCGAAGCCCCGGUAAACGGCGGCCGUAACUAUAACGGUCCUAAGGUAGCGAAAUUCCUUGUCGGGUAAGUUCCGACCUGCACGAAUGGUGUAACCAUGGCCACGCUGUCUCCACCCGAGACUCAGUGAAAUUGAAAUCGCAGUGAAGAUGCUGUGUACCCGCGGCUAGACGGAAAGACCCCGUGAACCUUUACUACAGCUUGGCACUGAACAUUGACCCUACAUGUGUAGGAUAGGUGGGAGGCUUUGAAGCAGAAACGCUAGUUUUUGUGGAGCCGUCCUUGAAAUACCACCCUUGUAGUGUUGAUGUUCUAACGUUGGCCCCUAAUCGGGGUUACGGACAGUGCCUGGUGGGUAGUUUGACUGGGGCGGUCUCCUCCCAAAGAGUAACGGAGGAGCACGAAGGUUGGCUAAGUACGGUCGGACAUCGUACGGUUAGUGUAAUGGUAGAAGCCAGCUUAACUGCGAGACAGACACGUCGAGCAGGUACGAAAGUAGGUCAUAGUGAUCCGGUGGUUCUGAAUGGAAGGGCCAUCGCUCAACGGAUAAAAGGUACUCCGGGGAUAACAGGCUGAUACCGCCCAAGAGUUCAUAUCGACGGCGGUGUUUGGCACCUCGAUGUCGGCUCAUCACAUCCUGGGGCUGAAGUCGGUCCCAAGGGUAUGGCUGUUCGCCAUUUAAAGUGGUACGCGAGCUGGGUUUAGAACGUCGUGAGACAGUUCGGUCCCUAUCUGCCGUGGGCGUUUGAGAAUUGAGAGGGGUUGCUCCUAGUACGAGAGGACCGGAGUGAACGAACCGCUGGUGUUCGGGUUGUCAUGCCAAUGGCACUGCCCGGUAGCUACGUUCGGAACUGAUAAGCGCUGAAAGCAUCUAAGCGCGAAGCAGGCCUCGAGAUGAGUUCUCACUAGACUUUUAAAGUCUCUGAAGGGCCGUUGAAGACUACAACGUUGAUAGGCAGGAUGUGGAAGUGGUGUGAGCCAUUAAGCUAACCUGUACUAAUUACCCGUGAGGCUUAACCAUACAACGCCAAACGCGUUU